GAGAGUUUGAUCCUGGCUCAGAUUGAACGCUGGCGGCAGGCUUAACACAUGCAAGUCGAGCGGGGAGAUGUAGCUUGCUACAUUUCCUAGCGGCGGACGGGUGAGUAAUGCUUAGGAAUCUGCCUAUUAGUGGGGGAUAACAUUCCGAAAGGAAUGCUAAUACCGCAUACGUCCUACGGGAGAAAGCAGGGGAUCUUCGGACCUUGCGCUAAUAGAUGAGCCUAAGUCAGAUUAGCUAGUUGGUGGGGUAAAGGCCUACCAAGGCGACGAUCUGUAGCGGGUCUGAGAGGAUGAUCCGCCACACUGGGACUGAGACACGGCCCAGACUCCUACGGGAGGCAGCAGUGGGGAAUAUUGGACAAUGGGCGCAAGCCUGAUCCAGCCAUGCCGCGUGUGUGAAGAAGGCCUUUUGGUUGUAAAGCACUUUAAGCGAGGAGGAGGCUACUUGGAUUAAUACUCUAGGAUAGUGGACGUUACUCGCAGAAUAAGCACCGGCUAACUCUGUGCCAGCAGUCGCGGUAAUACAGAGGGUGCGAGCGUUAAUCGGAUUUACUGGGCGUAAAGCGUGCGUAGGCGGCUUUUUAAGUCGGAUGUGAAAUCCCUGAGCUUAACUUAGGAAUUGCAUUCGAUACUGGGAAGCUAGAGUAUGGGAGAGGAUGGUAGAAUUCCAGGUGUAGCGGUGAAAUGCGUAGAGAUCUGGAGGAAUACCGAUGGCGAAGGCAGCCAUCUGGCCUAAUACUGACGCUGAGGUACGAAAGCAUGGGGAGCAAACAGGAUUAGAUACCCUGGUAGUCCAUGCCCGUAAACGAUGUCUACUAGCCGUUGGGGCCCUUUGAGGCUUUAGUGGCGCAGCUUAACGCGAUAAGUA
rnacentral:rRNA from 1 species